AGAAUCAACGCUGGCGGCGUGCCUAACACAUGCAAGUCGAACGAGAAAGUGGAGCAUCCAUGAGUAAAGUGGCGCACGGGUGAGUAACACGUGACUAACCUACCCUUGAGUGGGGGAUAACCUAGGGAAACCUGGGCUAAUACCGCAUAAUACCUACGGGUCAAAGGAGCAAUUCGCUUUAGGAGGGGGUCGCGGCAGAUUAGUUAGUUGGCGGGGUAAUGGCCCACCAAGACAGUGAUCUGUA
rnacentral:rRNA from 1 species